rnacentral:rRNA from 1 species
ACGGAAGGCAGCAGUGAGGAAUAUUGGACAAUGGAGGCAACUCUGAUCCAGCCAAACCGCGUGAAGGAAGACGGUCCUAUGGAUUGUAAACUUCUUUUGUAAGGGGAUAAACCUAGAUAUGUAUAUCUAGCUGAAGGUACCUUACGAAUAAGCAUCGGCUAACUCCGUGCCAGCAGCCGCGGUAAUACGGAGGAUGCAGGCGUUAUCCGGAUUUAUUAGGUUUAAAGGGUGCGCAGGCGGGACACUAAGUCGGCGGUGAAAUCUCAUGGCCCAACCAUGAAACUGCCAUCGAUACUGGUGACCUUGAGUACGAAUGAGGAAGGCGGAAUGAGUCGUGUAGCGGUGAAAUGCUUAGAUAUGACUCAGAACACCGAUUGCGAAGGCAGCGUACUGGGACGCGACUGACGCUGAGGCACGAAAGUGCGGGGAUCGAACAGGAUUAGAUACCCUGGUA